UUGCAAUUGCAAUGGCGGGCAUCCCACAAGCAGGAGAGCGCACCUACUAGUUCCAUAACACAGUUUAUAUACCUUUUUUCUCGAGGACCGGGCCCCUCCCCUGUUUCACCACUGACUGGGUAAUCCAGGUUCACAACCUAUCCAAUGCUUCACAGACAAUACAUGGCCUUCAGUUGUCGGCCUAUUAUAAGUCAAAUUUAUUUUGACUUUUAUACUCUUUUAGGUGGUAAUGUUUCUUACACAGUGAUUUCCACCUAAUUGCUCUAAGGAUUCUGGUUGUCUGCAUUUUA